AAGUCAAAUCAUCAGAACUGAGUAUAAGGAAUGUUAUAGGAGAAACAAAGACUUCCGUAGCUUCUGGAAAUGAGCAUAUUGGGGAGAAGCAAUUAUCGGAU